ACGCUCGACACCUACGGGAGGCAGCAGUCGGGAAUAUUGCGCAAUGGAGGAAACUCUGACGCAGUGACGCCGCGUAUAGGAAGAAGGUUUUCGGAUUGUAAACUAUUGUCGUUAGGGAAGAAAAAGGACAGUACCUAAGGAGGAAGCUCCGGCUAACUACGUACCAGCAGCCGGGUAAUCUGAGCGGGCUGGCAAGGC
rnacentral:rRNA from 1 species